UAAAGAUUUUUUUUUUUUUUUAAUUUGAGAGAAACAAGGAGAGUGAGCAUGAGAGAGAAAUAGAAAGCCAUCGGGAGGAAAGACAGAGGGAGAGGGUGAAGAAGGUUCUCCACUGAGCAGGGAGCCCAACGUGGGGCUCCAUCCCAGGACCCAGAAAUCAUGACCUGAGCAAAGGCAGCUGCUUGACCGACUGAGCCAUUCAGGUGCCCCUAUUUGCAUUUCUUUUAAAUGCCUUAAUGUCUUUUCCCAUUUAGGUAGCUGGUGGGAAAUCUGUAAAUACCUGCUUCUUUAACGCCGUAUAAAAAGCCCACAGCGUUUUAAUUCUGAGGUUGUUGAUUAUCGUGCAAGAAUCACGAAAGACAUUAAUGGAAACAGGCACACUGCGGACACUGAACAUGUUCUUUCCUUCAGAACUGAACCCCGCAAGAGGCACACAUGGAAAACAAAGAUUAGUCACUUUUGCCAUGCCUUUGAUGAUUUCCACCUUUAUCAGAAGUCGCACACUGGGACCCAGGAUAAUUUUUGGCAGGGUGUUUAAAAGAGUUUUAAACCUCCGUGCCCUUUUAUGGUGCGUGCAAUUCCCAUUUCAGCUUCUGGUCGCCUGGAUCUCAAGGUGAUUGCAUUUGUUCUCCUAGAAAGGAUUUCAAGCUUAGGAGACUUAUGCUUCCACUUAACAGAAGAAGAAGACCGGAAAUCCUAUGUAAUAUUGCAAUGCUUUUAUAAACAUGGCUGCCUAGGGACUCAACGCUGUGAAUCUGGGCUACACAAGCAGAAUACUGCUGAAAAUUGAAAUUAUUUCUUUUUAAUCAGUGGGUGUUCAAAAUGUUCAGAUUGGGUAUUCAAUUCAUAAGGAACAAAAAUACAAGCUGUUGGAAUGUCAAAUUACUGGAAGUUGAGAAUAGCCAACUGACUAACUCUAAUGAUUGUUUGGGUUUGCAUUUUAGUUCAGCCCUACUCUUUGACAUGGAGGGAACUUGGAGCCCCAGUCAG
rnacentral:lncRNA from 1 species